rnacentral:lncRNA from 1 species
GUCCUAUCAAUCCCAAAACAAGAUUCAGAAGCUAACAAUACUUGAACAUACAUAUCCAAAUUGCAGAAAAACUUCUAUAACACCCCAAUGCCAGGGACUCGUAAUUUAACCAUUGUCACAAAAUGUGUAAUCAGCCUAGUAGUGAACAACCACAAAAAGUUUUAACAUAACAACUGCGACUCCCAAGCUGAACCCACACACAUAAGCAUAUAAAAUAUUUUUAAAAACUCAAGAAUUGCAUAGGGAGACUUGUAAAAGAACUUUGAUCGUUAAAGAAACAAAACAGAUAUGCAUAAAAGUAGACACAAUAACAAAAGAACCAACCGGUCCAUGAUCUUUUAUCCAAACAGAAAUAGGUCUGUUGGCAUCUUCAGGUGCAUAAGGGUCUUUGUUAAGGAAGUCAGGAACCACAACGAAGAACCCAGCAGCUGCAACUUUGUCAGCAAGCUUCCUUCACAAUGGAAGGCAGGUGGCAUUAGUUAAAGGGUAUAGGAUAAUAUGGAAACACCGAACAACAUGAAAAUAUCUGAAGUCGGUAACUGGCACAUGAAAUUUUAUCCUUCUGUAAAUUAUAGAGUGAACAAUCUAAAAAUACAGGUAUAGAUCUUCAAACCAUCAUGAAAGGUUAUUGUAAAAGUCAGGGGAUCCGACAAUUGUUAUACGAUAUCUGAUACUCAUAGACAAUCCGAAACUAUUGGUUGCAACUAUCUUUCAAAAAUAAGUCAGAUAUAGAUAUAGAAUCAUAGAUUACAGACCUACUGUAACUUUUUCUUUUUUUUUUCUUCCUUAACGAUUGAAUUAUUUCAAGUAAACUGUUCAUCAAAUUUAAGUAGCAAGUGUAAAUAUCCGAAAGCGAAAAGUCAUCAUACCUCAAGUUUGGAGCUUCAAAUCCUGAAUGACAAAGAAAACAUUCAACAUUACAAAGCAGUUAUACAAAACACACACUUUCAUCACAGAUUUGAACAACACAUAAGCUAGAUUAUCAAGACUUUAUCAGAAUUGGAGGGAAAAAAAUCCAAAAAUUCAAAGGGGAAGGGAAAAUGUCAUAAAUUUAGGAAACCCAUCAACAAACAUAGCCUAAAAAUCAAUACCCAUUAAACCAAAAACCCAUAUAAAAAUAGACAACAAGGAAACAAACCCAUGUCGUAGAAUGAAGAAAGGAGAGGUUUUUUAAGUGGUGGGAAAGUUACCAUAAACGUCAGAGAUGAGAAGAACGGCAAGGUUGGAAUCAGGGGAGCCAGUGACAUAGGAGUCCAGACCGCCGAGGCUUUCGACAUGGCCGGUGCCGCUGGAGGGGUUCAGGGUCGGAGGGUUUGAGCAGCACUCAGAGCUUGCCAUUAUUUCUUUCCUUUUCUCUCCCUGAAUUCACACUCUUUGUCGGUGUUUGAUUGAGCUAGGGAUUUGGAUCCUCUCCUGAGCUAAUGGAGAGGAUCCUCCUGACCAAAUGUUGUGCAUCGUUGAAUUUUUAUCCAACGGCUAUAAACAGAUGGGUCUUUUAAAGUUAUAAUAAUUAUAACAGUUGGAUGAAAAUUCAACGGCCCAUAACACUUGGUCAGGAGGAUCCUCUCUAUUAGCUCAGGAGAGGAUCCAAAUCCCCGCACAGCGGAGACUAUAUUUAAAUAUAAUUAUUAUUAAGUAUUACAGUACUACCACGCCGUCCAUGAUGCUUACAUUUAGGGAUAUGAUAUCCACACACUUCUUUUUACUUCUCCCACACUUUUUUAGUUUUUGACCGUCGGAUCGGAUGAAUCGAAGAAAAUCAACGAACAGAAAUUAACAAGGGGUGUGUGAGAAGUAAAAAUGGAUGUGUGAAUAGCACACCCCUCAUUUAUAAUUUGAUAUUAACCGUUUAUUUGUUUUUUUUGGCUGAACUUUCAACUUGUUUUAAAAAAUUACCAAUUAAAUAAAAAGAAAAUAUCACCCGUCCAUCCUCAUCUCCCAUUUGGAUUCAUCAUGGGUGAAUAACGUGGAAGCAGUUCAAGUACCAACCCGAGUUAAUGAGGCAUUGAAGGAUCCGAAAUGGGCUACUGAAAUGGAUGAAGAAAUGAUGGCACUACAUAAGAAUGAUACAUGGGAAGUAAUGGAACUACCAAAGGGGAAAGGGCCGGUCGGAUGUAGAUGGGUCUUUACAAUUAAAUACAAGGCCGACAGAUCAAUAGACAAGUAUAAAGCAAGGUUAGUGGCAAAAGGUUAUACUCAAACGUACAAUGUUGAUUACCAAGAAACCUUUUCUUCAGUAGCAAAGAUGAAUACAAUACGGGGUUCCUAUUUCACUAGCUGCAAAUUUGAAUUGGUCACUGAAACAAUUUGAUGUUAAAAAGAAGUGUUUAUGGAUUUUCCUCUGAGUAUAAUGCUGAAGGGAAAACCGAAGUAUGUAGGUUGCAAAAGUCUCUUUCUGGACUUAAGCAAUCACCUCGUGCAUGGUUUGGUAGAUUUACUCAAGUUAUGAGAAGGAAGGGAUAUUAUCAUAGUCACUCUGACCAUACAUUGUUUGUAAAAUGGAGAAGUGGUAAUGUGACAACCUUAAUUAUUUAUGUGGAUGACAUGAUAAUAACAGGUGAUGAUUUGGAAGAGAUGAUGAAGCUGGAAGCAAGUCUUGCCGCCGAGUUCGAGAUGAAGAAUUUGGGAGACAAAAUAUUUUCUUGGAGUAGAAGUGGCUAGUUCAUCUUGAGGUAUUUUCUUGUCUCAACGUAAAUAUGUUAUGGAUUUAUUAAAAGAGACAGACAUGCUGGGAUGUAAACCGGUGGACACUCCUAUUGUAGAGAAGCAUUAUUUAGGGAUUUAUCUAGAUCAAGAAUCGGUUGACAAAGGCAGAUAUCAGAGACUGGUAGGGAGAGUAAUUUAUUUGUCCCACACUCGUUCGGAUAUUGCCUAUGCAGUAAGUGUGGUGAGUCAAUUUAUGCACUCGCCGAGUGUGGAGCAUAUGGCGACAAUUAUGAGGAUUCUAGCGUAUUUAAAGUCUGCUCCUGGAAAGGGAAUCCUGUAUAAGCCUCAUGGACACGUGAGGAUUGAGGGAUUAACUAAUGCUAAUUGGGCAUGUGAUGUGAUUGAUAGGCGUUCUACGUCUGGAUAUUUUACAUUCGUUGGAGAAAAUUUGGUUACUUGGCAGAGCAAGAAACAGAGGGUGGUGUCUCAAUCUUCUGCUGAGGCGGAAUACAGGAGCAUGGCGCAUGGUGUGUGCAAGAUUCUUUGGCUACGGAAGUUGAUUUGAAGUCUCGGAUUUAAACAAGAAGAGGCAAUGAAAUUGUAUUGUGACAAGUCGGCAAGAGAGAUAGCAGAGAAUCCAGUACAACAUGAUACAACUAAGUAUGUUGAGGUUGAUCGACAUUUCAUUAAAGAAAAGCUUGAGAAGAAGAUUGUUUCAAUACCAUUUGUGAAAUCGGAAGAACAACUUUCAGAUGUUCUUACUCAUGCCGUGUGUAGUAGAGCUUUUGAUGACUUACCUAUCAAGUUGGGCAUGUGUGAUAUCUAUGCACCAACUUGAGGAGGAGUAUUGCAUGAGUCACUGUAUAGGAAAAGAGAAUGUAAAUAUUGUGUAAAUAUUAGUCAUGUUUUAGGAAGGUAAUAUUAAUGUCCUUUAUUGUUUCCUUAUGUAAUAAGGAUUGUAUGUACUUAUAUUCAAAAUUAUGGAAUACAUGAAAAUUAAGCUGUAAAAUUCUAUUACAAAACUUUAAACAAAUACGAACAUAAAACUCCAGAGGCAUUAUUUAUCCAUUACUAAUAGAUAGCAGCUGAUAAGGAAAACCACUUCAACAAAUCUUGAUGAGGCCACUCACUUGACAUGGUUCAAGAACCACUUCAACAAAUCUUGAUGAGCCUCCUCGGCAGACUUACAAGCUGCUUCGUCUUCAACACUGUACCUCACCGUCCACCCAUGUGACACUUUCGGGAAUAUUUUCACAUGGCUCUUAACCUGUGAUUCCACAAAACCAACAAUCGUUUCAACAAAUUUCAAAAGUUUACCACUACAAGCUACCACAGUGGUGAAUCCUAAUGUGAAGGGGGGUGUUUUUGGUGUUGUCCUAUCAUUUCUUCAAAAAGAACAAAAUGAAAAUGUUUUCAAAGUUCGUACAAAACGGUAUAUGACCCUGAUUGGAAAUUAAAAUAUAAUAUCUUAACGUAGUAUAUAAGCUCACUGGCCCCCUUCCCUUACAAGUCAUAUUUGUAAGGGCAAGUUACCUAUAACUAUAAGCCAUGCAUAAUUAUAUUUCAUAAUAUGAUAGAAAAAGUUCGCCAUGCAUCCCAAGUUGAGGAAUGUCCAUGAUUAGAAUAAACAAACUAACAAAGCCACAAAAGUAUUGAAGACUAUUCGGAUGAAGGAGAUUUCUACCUCAGGUUUUGCAGUUAAAACCUCUUCAAACUGUUUCACGACUUCAGGCGGAGACAUCUGAUCAAUCUCAGCUCCAAGUACAGAAAUAGGAACCUUAACCUCUGAAAGUAAGUCCAGGAAUAGAUCAUAAAGUGAGUGUGAGACUAAUUUUUUGUUCCAAUAAUGGAUUAGAUAUUUCCUGAAUAUUACUACAGGUAUCUUACCCUUGAUAUCAUCCACAGUGACUAAUGAUGGAUGACACAGAACAGCAGCUUGAAUUAAAGCGUGCUUUGAAAGUUCAACCACAACCUUGGCUGAAAACAGCGCAAAUAGUUCAAUGUCAGCUGAAACAAUAUUUUCCAUAUUGGUUGAACUACUGAAACAAGAGUGAUAAGUAAAACAUUGCCUAAACAUUAUCCAAAUGUCUAAACGAGAAACAUUUUUGUUACACUCAAAAAGCAACAAAUUAAAUAUAUACAAGGAAAAAUGAAAUAGAGCAACUAAGAUGUUAACGAGAAAUGAACGUGAACUCACCUCCCCAACAGAAGCCUGCAGCACCGAUUGCAGAAACACCUUUACUUUUUAAAGCUUCAAGAACUGGCUUUGCAUCCUCAAAUCCCUUGUCCUAUCAAUCCCAAAACAAGAUUCAGAAGCUAACAAUACUUGGAACAUAUCCAAAUUGCAGAAAAACUUUUAUAACACCCCAAUGCCAGGGACUCGUAAUUUAACCAUUGUCACAAAAGGUGGAAUCAGCCUAGUAGUGAACAACCAUAAAAAGUUUUAACAUAACAACAGUCUUCAUGCACUCCCAAGCUGAACCCACACACAUAAGCAUAUAAAAUAUUUUUAAAAACUCAAGAAUUGCAUAGGGAGACUUGUAAAAGCACUUUGAUCGUUAAAGAAACAAAACAGAUAUGCAUAAAAGUAGACACAAUAACAAAAGAACCAACCGGUCCAUGAUCUUUUAUCCAAACGGAAAUAGGUCUGUUGGCAUCUUCAGGUGCAUAAGGGUCUUUGUUAAGGAAGUCGGGAACCACAACGAAGAACCCAGCAGCUGCAACUUUGUCAGCAAGCUUCCUUCACAAUGGAAGGCAAGUGGCAUUAGUUAAAGGGUACAGGAUAUUAUGGAAACACCGAACAACAUGAAAAUAUCUGAAGUCGGUAACUGGCACGUGAAAUUUUAUCCUUCUGUAAAUUAUAGAGUGAACAAUCUAAAAAUACAGGUAUAGAUCUUCAAACCAUCAUGAAAGGUUAUUGUAAAAGUCAGGGGAUCCGACAAUUGUUAUACGAUAUCUGAUACUCAUAGACAAUCCGAAACUAUUGGUUGCAACUAUCUUUCAAAAAUAAGUCAGAUAUAGAUAUAGAAUCAUAGAUUACAGACCUACUGUAAUUUUUUUUUUUUUUUUCCUUCCUUAACGAUUGAAUUAUUUCAAUUAAACUGCUCAUCAAAUUUAAGCAGCAAGUGUAAAUAUCCGAAAGCGAAAAGUCAUCACACCUCAAGUUUGGAGCUUCAAAUCCUGAAUGACAAAGCAAACAUUCAACAUUACGAAGCAGUUAUACAAAACAGACACUUUCAUCAAAAAAUUGAACAACACAUAAGCUAGAUUAUCAAGACUUUAUCAGAAUUGGAGGGAAAAAAUCCAAAAAUUCAAAGGGGAAGGGAAAAUGUCAUAAAUUUAGGAAACCCAUCAACAAACAUAGCCUAAAAAUCAACACCCAUUAAACCAAAAACCCAUAUAAAAAUGGACAACAAGGAAACAAACCCAUGUCGUAGAAUGAAGAAAGGAGAGGUUUUUUAAGUGGUGGAAAAGUUACCGUAAAUGUCAGAGAUGAGAAGAACAGCAAG